rnacentral:rRNA from 1 species
AUGUCGUCGGUCAGUGCCCGCGCUCCCGUGGCCGCUCUCCGGCCGGCGGCGUCAGCGUCGAGCCCCCGGUUCCUGGGCGACUCCGGCCGCGUCGGCCUCGCCAAGUCCACGCGCCGCGACGUCGCCGUCCAGGCCAAGGGGUCGUGGCUCCCCGGCCUCCCCUCCCCUGCCUACCUCGACGGCAGCUUGGCGGGUGACAAUGGGUUCGACCCGCUGGCGCUGGCGGAGGACCCGGAGGACCUGCGGUGGUUCGUGCAGGCGGAGCUGGUGAACGGGCGGUGGGCGAUGCUGGGGGUGGCGGGGAUGCUGAUCCCGGAGGUGCUGACCAAGGCGGGGCUGCUGAACGCGCCCGAGUGGUACGACGCCGGCAAGGAGACCUACUUCGCCUCCUCCUCCACGCUCUUCGUCAUCGAGUUCAUCCUCUUCCACUACGUGGAGAUCCGGCGGUGGCAGGACAUCAAGAACCCGGGCUCCGUCAACCAGGACCCCAUCUUCAAGAGCUACAGCCUCCCGCCCCACGAGUGCGGCUAUCCCGGCAGCGUCUUCAACCCCCUCAACUUCGCCCCCACCCUCGAGAACAAGGAGAAGGAGCUCGCCAACGGGAGACUGGCGAUGCUGGCGUUCCUGGGGUUCCUGGUGCAGCACAACGUGACCGGCAAGGGCCCGUUCGAGAACCUGCAGCAGCACCUGGCCGACCCAUGGCACAACACCAUCAUCCAGACCAUCUCCGGCCAAUAA